UUUUUUUUUUUUUUUUUUUUUGCCUUUGGAGUUGUGGGGGGGGGGGGGGUGUUGGGGGAUUUAAAAAAAAAAAAAAAAACUCUCCAUUGAAAUAUAUGCGGCUAAAUUUUUAAGUUGUAAAGUAUGUGUUGACAUCUUUCACCCAAAAUAACUCAAUACAUUGCUCCUUUUCAUUGUCGUCUUAAAUUUGUGAUACAAUUUCUUAUGUGAAUUAUGUCAUACGGGAUGAUUUUUUUUUCAGGGAAUAUAUCGGCUCAAGGUAUGAUGCAUUUGAUAUGUAUAACAUGCUUCAAAAAUUAAAUUGGCUUAAGUGGAAACUGAAAGAACACGAUGAUGUGUAAUAGAAUAUUAGCAAUUAAAAAUACGAUAUGUAAAAACUUGUGUUUGUACUAGUUUCAUGCACUAUUCUUACUUCUAUUCUAACCUAACCUAUUUAGAGAAGGAUCCUACUAGAUCAAAAGGGGUUAAACGGAAGUGGUUCCUACGUUCAAACCAAAGGGGUACACUAUUUCACACCCCUUUGAGAUAUAAAUGGAUUCGUACAAAAGCUAGGUUGAGAGGUGAACCAUGGUAUUUUUAGGGGUCGCAUUCAUGUCUAGUUCGCCUAAGUGUGUCCAAGAUUCGUGACUUGCAUUCCAUGGUUUUAUUAAUAUAAAGAACUUGCUUAAAAUCAUAUGAUUGCUUCAAAGUUGGAAAAUUUCCAGCUGCUACAAAAUGCUGUCUAACUUAGUUUACAAUAACCCUAGCAAAAAUCAUUUAAUUGUCUCAACAUUUCAUUCCAUUUAUCCAUAAUGGGAUACAUAAAUAUUCAAUUCUAAAUUUUGUUAUACAUGUUGUCAUUUCAUGAAACGGUUCAAGAGGAUCAGAAAUUUUAGGAGCAACUUGGAAACAACUUUGCAGUGAUCGUAAUCAUGCCUUUUAAUGUGAUCAAAUUCAGUAACUCAGUUUCUGAUUCAACAGCUGAAAUGACCUAAACUUCAUAGCCACACCCUGUUAGUAUAAAUAAUCGCCCCAAAUUAAACCAAAUAAAUCACAACCUAAAAGCCAAUACAAAUAAAUUAACAUGCCUAAGCUUUGCUUUCUUGCCUAUCCUUUUGUCCCCAGUCUCAAGUAAGCCUUACCUCUUCAUCAUGUCAAAAUUGCAAAAUUUCUAGCAUUGGUUAGAGUCUCCUACCUCUGUGUGUGUGUGUAUAUAUAUAUAUAUAUAUAUAUAUAUAUAUUUGCCAGUUUACCAAUUUCCAGAGGGAAUAGGGGCAGGAGAAACGCUGCAGCCAAGUACAUUAGCCUCCAGGAAACUGCUUAAAAGUAGGAAGAAUUUAACCAAAAGCAUUUCCAUGAUCACAAAUUAUAACUUUUUAUCCUGAAAAAUUAGUGGGUCCCAAUCCAAGAGGUGAUGGAGCUCUUCCUUGCGGUAGCUCCUGUGUUCAUAACCCUAGAGAUUGUAAGGGUGAUUGUGCAUGUAUUUUUCCUAUUUACGUCUGUCUGGGAAAAUGUUGUGGUGAUUCUUUAGCUUCUCUCUGAUGAAAUCAGAAGCUCAACUCAUCAUGCUAAUGCUUCACAGUUAUUACUAGUGUACCUGGGAAAGGCUUUACAUAAAUACACAUAUACUGGUGUAGAUUCAAUAUGAGAUAUAACUAUAUUAAAAAAAAACGGGUAGCAGUUCGACUACUAAAUCCCGUACACAUUAACAGAUUGUGGCACAAGAUAUCCAGCAAAACCAUAUCCUUUUUAAUGGUACUCAUAAAAGGAUCCUGAUGGCAGAAUGGAGAGAAUAGUUAGCCUGCACAAAACUCUGAAAUAUCUCUAAAAAUUCUCAACUACAUUAACCAGAAGUAAUCGUCUUGAAUAUUGUAAUCAACAUAUUGUUAGCUUAGUCUAGCUGCCAACAAUUGCUUGUUAGUUCAUUGGCUUGAAUCAGGAAUGCUAUAAUGAGUUUGUCCAUCAAACUCAAGAACUCUGCAUUGUCUCUUUGAAAUAAGUAAAAGGAACCCAAUAGAGCAUACAUAUUGCAGCAUGAAAAUACCAUUUAAGCUAGAUACAUCAAAACACACACGAAAAAGGGACAUGUUGGAAGUAAAUUAUGUUAGUCAUACAAGUUGUAAAUCAAAAGAAAAGCAUGAAGUGCAUCAAAAAAUUCAUUAAUAGCUUUAUGACAAUAAGGGAAAACAUGAAAGGCAAGAUAUGAAAAAAGACAGAAGAAUGCUGGACAGAGAUUCAGACAGUAACGGUGGAUAAUUAUGAUUUCGUGAAUAAACUUAGCUUGAUGCUAAUAAACUGUGAAUAAGAUUUUUAACAACUGUACAAUCACAGGUGAUCUACAAAUAAAUUUAGUAAAUAUCAAUAUUUGGUUUCCAAGUUCGAACAAAUGCAUUUGCUUAGAGUUUCUUGAAAUCAAGAAUUAAGCAUGCACCUCAACUUGCUUCUGCCCUUGUUUAGGGAUUACGGAUCCAAGUUC
rnacentral:lncRNA from 1 species